rnacentral:rRNA from 1 species
UAAUGGCGAAUGAACAGGGAUUAGCUCACGAUGGAAAUCGGGGCCUAUGGCUUCGAAUUGUAGUCUCGAGAUGCAUUGCCAACUGGGGCGCAGGUGUAAGCCUCUUGGGAAAGAGCGCCAAUGAGGGUGAGAGUCCCGUUUGCCAUCUGUAGUCCCCUGUGUACGGCGUGUGCUCUCAGAGUCACGUUCCUCGGGAUUGGAGCGCAAAGUGGGUGGUAAGUUUCAUCUAAAGCUGAAUAUUGGUUCGAGACCGAUAGCAAACAAGUACCAUGAGGGAAAGAUGAAAAGGACUUUGAAAAGAGAGUUAAAAGUGCCUGAAAUUGCUGAAGGGGAAGCGAACGGAACCAGUCUUCUCGGUGGAAUUGCCAUGCCCUUCUGGGUGUGGUGUCUUCUGCCUUGGUUGUCACCUCUGGUUCAUGCGUGGGGAAGCCCUGGGUGUAUGGUAGCUCGCUCUCGGGUGGGUGAAAGCGCCUGAUGGAACCCACGCGUGUA